GAAAUGCGAUAAGUAAUGUGAAUUGCAGAAUUCAGUGAAUCAUCGAAUCUUUGAACGCACAUUGCGCCCGCCAGUAUUCUGGCGGGCAUGCCUGUCCGAGCGUCAUUUCAACCAUCAAGCCCCCGGGCUUGUGUUGGGGACCUGCGGCUGCCCGCAGGCCCUGAAAACCAGUGGCGGGCUCGCUGUCACACCGAGCGUAGUAGCAAUCACCUCGCUCAGGGCGUGCUGCGGGUUCCGGCCGUUAAACAGCCUUACAAAACCCAAGGUUGACCUCGUAUCAGGUAGGAAGACCCGCUGAACUUAAGC
rnacentral:misc_RNA from 1 species